rnacentral:rRNA from 1 species
AGUCGAACGGUCAGUAGCAAUACUGAUAGUGGCGCACGGGUGCGUAACACGUAACUAACCUACCUAUAACUGGGGGAUAGCCCGCCGAAAGGCGGAUUAAUACCGCAUAAGCUAGUUGACUCGGCAUCGGGUUACUAGUAAAGAUUUAUUGGUUAUAGAUGGGGUUGCGGGUCAUUAGCUAGUUGGUAAGGUAACGGCUUACCAAGGCGACGAUGACUAGGGGAGCUGAGAGGCUGGUCCCCCACACGGGCACUGAGAUACGGGCCCGACUCCUACGGGAGGCAGCAGUAGGGAAUAUUGGGCAAUGGGCGAGAGCCUGACCUAGCCAUGCCGCGUGCAGGAAGAAGGCUUUCUGAGUCGUAAACUGCUCUUGACAGGGAAGAAUAAGCGCUACGUGUAGCGUGAUGACGGUACCUGCAGAAUAAGCACCGGCUAACUCCGUGCCAGCAGCCGCGGUAAUACGGAGGGUGCGAGCGUUGUCCGGAUUUAUUGGGUUUAAAGGGUGCGUAGGCGGCUUUUUAAGUCUGGGGUGAAAGCCCGCUGCUCAACAGCGGAACUGCCCUGGAUACUGGAGAGCUUGAGUACAGACGAGGUUGGCGGAAUGGACUGAGUAGCGGUGAAAUGCAUAGAUACAGUCCAGAACCCCGAUUGCGAAGGCAGCUGACUAGGCUGUUACUGACGCUGAGGCACGAAAGCGUGGGGAGCGAACAGGAUUAGAUACCCUGGUAGUCCACGCCGUAAACGAUGGAUACUCGCUGCGAGCUAAAGAUUGUUCGUGGCUUAGGGAAACCGAUAAGUAUCCCACCUGGGGAGUACGCUCGCAAGAGUGAAACUCAAAGGAAUUGAC